rnacentral:rRNA from 1 species
UACGUAGGGUCCGAGCGUUGUCCGGAAUUACUGGGCGUAAAGAGCUCGUAGGUGGUUUGUCGCGUUGUUCGUGAAAACUCACAGCUUAACUGUGGGCGUGCGGGCGAUACGGGCAGACUUGAGUACUGCAGGGGGAGACUGGAAUUCCUGGUGUAGCGGUGGAAUGCGCAGAUAUCAGGAGGAACACCGGUGGCGAAGGCGGGUCCCUGGACAACUCCUGACACUGAUGCACGAAAGCUAGGGGAGCAAACAGG